rnacentral:rRNA from 1 species
UGGGGAAUAUUGCACAAUGGGCGAAAGCCUGAUGCAGCAACGCCGCGUGAGUGAUGAAGGUCUUCGGAUUGUAAAGCUCUGUCUUUUGGGACGAUAAUGACGGUACCAAAGGAGGAAGCCACGGCUAACUACGUGCCAGCAGCCGCGGUAAUACGUAGGUGGCGAGCGUUGUCCGGAUUUACUGGGCGUAAAGGGUGCGUAGGCGGAUGUUUAAGUGAGAUGUGAAA